rnacentral:lncRNA from 1 species
GUUGUCGUAUAUAUAUAUAUAUAUACAUGUUUAUCAUAAUUGUAUUGUAAUUACUGUAUAGAUAUUUAGUAUAUUUAUGUAUGUAUGUAUAUUGACCUCUUGUACACUGUUGUGUCUGAGGAUAAUAAAACUUUGAAUCUUGAAUCUACAUUAGAUUUUUUUCUUCGUUUCUGAUUGCCAUUGGACCAUUCCAGUUAAUGUUUGCUAAAGGGGGAUGGGAUGGAUGGUCCUUUCUGAGGGGUGUAAAAUUUAUACAUCUUAGGGGGUGUAAUUUUUUUUCUCCAUCUGACACGUACAAUUAUACGCAAAAAACUUCUGAGGGUCUUGCAGCAGUAAAUAGUUGGAAAGGUAAAAAUAAUUACAUCUUAGGGGUUACAAAAAUGCUUCUGUCAAAUCUUAUGGGUGCUUUGGUAUCUAAACAGUUUCGUAUCAUACAUUAUCUGGUAUCGAAAAUACACUAACUAGUCAUAUAUUAUGUACUAACUGGAAGCUUACCAGAGAUGGAAGGUAUAUUCUGACAGGUUGAAGUGUCAGCAAAAUUCUGAUGGGUACAAUCAUUGCAAUAAUUUUUCCCCAUGAAAGCCCAUCCACCC